AAUUGAUAAACAAGCUUAAGCAAAUUGAGUUCCAGCUACGACUCAGUCUAUCAAGUUGAGGUUGAACUCAUCUUCUACAACAACUUGAGUUCGAGCUGAAGUCAAGGCAAACGAAAUAUGUGUCGAGUCGUCGAGUCGAGCUCCCAUUUGUCAUUUGUAGCCCUAAAGGAGUCUGACACCCUCAGCGUCACUGCCUUUGGGUGGGGGCGGAGGCCGAUCCCUCCCACCUGACAGCGGCGGCCAGUGGCGGCCAGCGACCACCCAAUUCUUAUGCAUGCACAAGCAUGCAAAUGUUCCAACCGUUCAUUAAAUGUUAAUUUAUAUUGAUUGGUAGGGCAGUUGGGUAUUUGGUGUUGCCAAAGCUUUCCUAUUAGAUGUCACAUUGAUACUAUCAAAAGAACAUGGUUUCGUACUUUCUCAUUUAAAAUAUUCACGUGAUACAAAGGCUAAUUAAUAUGCAGUAGUUACUCCCUUAAAAAACAAAGAUUCGACACUUUCUCCUCUCAUCACAUGUUCCAAUCUCAUCCGCUCUCACAAACUUUUCUUUUUCUGCUUCUAAAGACAAUUUCAACUUUUUAAAUUGGUGGGCAAGUCAUAUUGUUGGGCAAGUCGAGGGACCCGAGCUCCACCCGCGUGUGAGCCCGACGUCGUCCUCUUCUCCCGCGUCUUCCUCAGAGACCCCUCCCCCUCUCCCUCUUCUCCCGCGUCCUCAAAGACCCCUCCUCCUCCGUUGCCACUUGUGCCAGCGCAAGGAAGAAGAAGACAGCGGAGGUGCUCGGCGGCGAAGAGAAGAGAGAAGACGGAGGUGGUGCCGGCGGCGGUGGUGACAACGGCGACUGAGGCAGCGGCACUUGGGUAAACUCUUUUUCUCUCUCUCGUGCUUUGUUUUAUGUUCUCUGCCACUCUCAUGCUCCCUUGCCCUCUCUGCAGCACGUCCUCUCUUCCUCUAUCUCGCCACUCUCUUUCCCCUUUCCGCUAGCUCCCUCCCGCACGGUCCCUCUCCUCACUCACCCUCACCCUCCCACCGGCUCUCUCUCUUCUCUCACGUCCUCUCCCCCUCACUGCCCUUCUUCCCCAUUUCUGCCCGAACCAUCCUUCCCUCGCUCUCUCUUCUAUCCGCCCCUUUCCCGCCCCUUUCUGUCAGCGCCUCCCCUUGCCUACACACUCUCCGAGCACUCUUUCUCAUGGAUUUCAUCACUGUUUGUUAUGAUUCCCGUUUGGGGAAUGCGUUCUUCCCCUGGUAUCAGUGUUGGUGGUGGCAGCUUGGCACAAUUACUAUCAUUUGGGGAUCGAUUGUAAGCUUGCUUGAGGUGGUUGUCGGAGGCGUUGACACUUAGAUUGGGUAGGUUCACCGGGCACGUCCCGUCGACCUUGAGUUCGAAAGUCGAGUAAUUUUGAAGAGUUUUGUGAGCGCGCCACAGGUUUUGGCAGAUCCGGGGCAGCAGGUUGAGGAGAUGGCUUCAUUCACGUCCUACUGGAAAGGUUUUGGGAUGUGUCUUUUGUAAUGCCGGCGCGUCUUAUUUUGGUUUUAUUGAUGUCUUGUUUUUGUUAGGCAUCAAUUAUAUAGUUUGGGGCAUUUUUGUUAUAUAUAGAUGUGAUUUUGAAUAAAUUGAAAUGAUUAUAUAAAUGAAAGUUCGCCUCA